GUUCAAAUGGACCCUAGUAAAGUUCAGACGCCUUCAGAAUGGUCCAAACCAUCUACAGUCAAACAGGUCUGGACCGUUACCUCAGCCGGUGCGACAAUGCAUGUUCCAGGCCACCGAGAAUGGUGGAUUUCCUGUCGAAACUUGACCAAAAGCACGGCAACAUUAACCUCCCUGCUUACCUUCAUCCUUGUCUGGGAAAGAGGACUAUCAUCUUGGCUGACACUGGAAAGGAGCAGCAUUCGUUUAGUAAAUUGGUAUUGCUUCCCC